rnacentral:rRNA from 1 species
GACAUAGGUGGCGAACGUUAUCCGGAAUUAUUGGGCGUAAAGGAUGCGUAGAUGGCAGAAUAAGUUAUUGGUCGAUGCCAAACUCAAUUUGGUGGAAGCUAGUAAUACUGUUCUGCUAGAGGGCAGGAGAGGUUGAUGGAAUUCUGUGUGGAGCGGUGAAAUGCGUAGAUAUCUGGAAGAACACCAGUGGCGAAGGCGGUCAACUGGCCCUUAACUGACGCUCAUGCACGAAAGCGUGGGUAGCGAACAGG